rnacentral:piRNA from 1 species
CGUAACCUGGGACAGCAAGC